rnacentral:rRNA from 1 species
GUUGGGAAUCUUGCACAAUGGGGGAAACCCUGAUGCAGCGACGCCGCGUGGAGGAUGAAGGAUCUAGGUCUGUAAACUCCUUUUUCAUGGAAAGACUUAGGACGGUACCAUGAGAAUAAGCCCCGGCUAACUACGUGCCAGCAGCCGCGGUAAGACGUAGGGGGCGAGCGUUGUCCGGAUUUACUGGGCGUAAAGAGCGCGUAGGCGGCUUGUUAAGUGUGAAGUGAAAUCUCCAGGGCUCAACCCGGAAACUGCUUUACAUACUGGCAAGCUAGAGGAAUGCAGAGGUAAGUGGAAUUCCUGGUGUAGCGGUGAAAUGCGUAGAUAUCAGGAGGAACACCCAUGGCGAAGGCAGCUUACUGGGCAUUAUCUGACGCUGAGGCGCGAAAGCGUGGGUAGCAAACAGGAUUAGAAACCCUAGUAGUCC